rnacentral:rRNA from 1 species
AGCGAACGCUGGCGGCAGGCUUAACACAUGCAAGUCGAACGCCCGGGCAACCGGGAGUGGCAGACGGGUGAGUAACACGUGGGAACGUACCCUUUGGUUCGGAAUAACUCAGGGAAACUUGAGCUAAUACCGGAUAAGCCCUUACGGGGAAAGAUUUAUCGCCGAAGGAUCGGCCCGCGUCCGAUUAGCUAGUUGGUGUGGUAACGGCUCACCAAGGCGACGAUCGGUAGCUGGUCUGAGAGGAUGAUCAGCCACACUGGGACUGAGACACGGCCCAGACUCCUACGGGAGGCAGCAGUGGGGAAUAUUGGACAAUGGGGGCAACCCUGAUCCAGCCAUGCCGCGUGAGUGAUGAAGGCCCUAGGGUUGUAAAGCUCUUUCGGCGGGGGACGAUAAUGACGGUACCCGCAGAAGAAGCCCCGGCUAACUUCGUGCCAGCAGCCGCGGUAAGGCACGACUGU